rnacentral:rRNA from 1 species
AUUGAACGCUGGCGGCAGGCCUAACACAUGCAAGUCGAACGGUAACAGGAAACAGCUUGCUGUUUCGCUGACGAGUGGCGGACGGGUGAGUAAUGUCUGGGAAACUGCCUGAUGGAGGGGGAUAACUACUGGAAACGGUAGCUAAUACCGCAUAACGUCGCAAGACCAAAGAGGGGGACCUUCGGGCCUCUUGCCAUCGGAUGUGCCCAGAUGGGAUUAGCUAGUAGGUGGGGUAACGGCUCACCUAGGCGACGAUCCCUAGCUGGUCUGAGAGGAUGACCAGCCACACUGGAACUGAGACACGGUCCAGACUCCUACGGGAGGCAGCAGUGGGGAAUAUUGCACAAAGGGCGCAAGCCUGAUGCAGCCACGCCGCGUGUAUGAAGAAGGCCUUCGGGUUGUAAAGUACUUUCAGCGGGGAUGAAGGGAGUAAAGUUAAUACCUUUGCUCAUUGACGUUACCCGCAGAAGAAGCACCGGCUAACUCCGUG